rnacentral:rRNA from 1 species
GACGAACGCUGGCGGCGUGCUUAACACAUGCAAGUCGAGCGGAAAGGCCCUUCGGGGUACUCGAGCGGCGAACGGGUGAGUAACACGUGAGUAAUCUGCCCCAUGCUUCGGGAUAGCCAGCCGAAAGGCUGAUUAAUACCGGAUAUGACGCUCUCCUACAUGGGAGGGUGUGGAACGUUUUUUAGGCGUGGGAUGUGCUCGGGGCCUAUCAGCCUUUGGGUGGGGUAAUGGCCUACCAAGGCUUCGACGGGUAGCCGGCCUGAGAGGGUGGCCGGCCACACUGGGACUGGGACACGGCCCAGACUCCUACGGGAGGCAGCAGUGGGGAAUAUUGGACAAUGGGCGGAAGCCUGAUCCAGCAACGCCGCGUGAGGGAUGACGGCCUUCGGGUUGUAAACCUCUUUCAGCACAGACGAAGCGAGAGUGACGGUAUGUGCAGAAGAAGGACCGGCCAACUACGUGCCAGCCGCCGCAGUAAUAC